AGAUGGCGACCGGCGCACGGGUGAGUAACACGUAUCCAACCUGCCGAUAACUCGGGGAUAGCCUUUCGAAAGAAAGAUUAAUACCCGAUGGCAUAAUAGAACCGCAUGGUUUGAUUAUUAAAGAAUUUCGGUUAUCGAUGGGGAUGCGUUCCAUUAGGCAGUUGAUGGGGUAACGGCCCACCAAACCUUCGAUGGAUAGGGGUUCUGAGAGGAAGGUCCCCCACAUUGGAACUGAGACACGGUCCAA
rnacentral:rRNA from 1 species